UACGUAGGGGGCAAGCGUUGUCCGGAAUUAUUGGGCGUAAAGCGCGUGUAGGCGGCUCGAUAAGUCUGCUGUGAAAGUCCAAGGCUCAACCUUGGAAUGCCGGUGGAUACUGCCGAGCUCGAGUCCGGAAGAGGCGAGUGGAAUUCCCGGUGUAGCGGUGAAAUGCGCAGAUAUCGGGAAGAACACCCGUGGCGAAGGCGGUUCUCUGGGACGGUACUGACGCUGAGACGCGAAAGCGUGGGGAGCGAACAGG
rnacentral:rRNA from 1 species